AACGUAACAAAGUCUAACUACUGUCGCUUGAUUUAUUAAGGAUCUAACAAUUAGGAUUCUUUGAGUAAAGGCUUAUACUUGUUUUUGUAAAUCACUAUAACAAUAAUUCACCAAAUAUGUACAUUGAAAUAAAUUUCAAUUGAAAAUUCUAUUUUUCAUUCAUAUUAAAAUUUUCGUCAGGAAGCAAGGCCAGAAAAAAGUUUUCGUUUGUAAUUUUUUUUGUUUCGCAGAAAUUUCUAAAUUUAAGUUCUUUAAGAAAUCGUGCGAAGAUGUGUUAUUCCUGCUGUAGUCCAUACUCCUGCUGCUCGCCCUGCUGUGGGCCAUGCAGACCAUGCGGACCUUGCCGGCCAUGCUGCGCACCGUGUGGACCGAGUGGAUCAUAUGGCUCAUGCCUUGAUUGUCGUAAACCCUGUGGUGAGUCAAAUAUUUGUCGACCCACAGGAUGUUUCUAUUUCGGUUGAGACCAUCGUCGCGUACACGAGUCAUGAGAAGUGUGUUUGCGAGCCAUCUACGUCUAGUGCGUCCAUUGUUGUUGCCAGCGUUGUGCUACAAACACCGAACGUUUUGAAAUUUUUGCAAUAAUAAAUGUUACAGAAAAAUCGAUUUUAGAACAAACACAUUGUACUGAGUGAAGUUAAUGUGUUGUAAACACGAAAAUUGGCCAAUAAACAUACACACGUUUUGACAUCAAUAAAAUGA